CUGGCAUGCAGACAGCAGCUUUAGAAUCAGAUCUGCCUUCCGGUGGCUUCCCACCUAGGAGCCAUGAGACCUUUGUGAAGUCACCAAUUGUGCUUUGGAUGCUUCAUUUGUGAAGGAGAACAGAACUGCCUUUUGAGAAAACUGAGGUACAGAUGGGAGACAUAACUUGCUCAAGUUCACACAGCAAUUAAGUGGUCAAGUCCAACAGCAAAACCAGGCAGGCUGGCUCCAGAGCUCACGAUAGCCCACCACUGCUUUCCACCAUCACUACAGAAUCAAGUCCAUGAGGAUACUCACCUUACGCCAGUUGCCUAAGUUGGAAAUUAUAGAAUCUUCAAAUUGAAAGAGACCUUAUCGUCCAAGAUUUCACCUUUCUACUCACUGCAAAAUCCCUUCUGGAACUUUCCAGAACGAUGAAUUUUCAUCAGCUCUGCUUGAGUACUCCCAGUGACUGGGAAAAAAAACACUGUAAUAUGGAUAUGAAAUAUAAACUGUUCAUGGAUAAAUUAUUGCAUAGUAAAAACAUGCCUAAUGGCGAUAGUCUCCUAA